ACUCAAAUGAAUUGACGGGGGCCCGCACAAGCGGUGGAGCAUGUGGUUUAAUUCGACGCUACGCGAAAAACCUUACCUGGGCUCGAACGACUGGUGUUAGUCCGGUUGAAAAACUGGGCGACCCGCAAGGGAGCCAGCCGAGGUGCUGCAUGGUUGUCGUCAGCUCGUGUCGUGAGAUGUUGGGUUAAGUCCCGCAACGAGCGCAACCCUCGUCCCAUGUUGCUACCCCGCAAGGGGAGGACUCUUGGGAGACUGCCGCGGAUAACGUGGAGGAAGGUGGGGAUGACGUCAAAUCAUCAUGGCCUUUAUGUCCAGGGCGACACACGUGCUACAAUGGCGCGAACAGAAGGAUGCAAGACCGUAAGGUGGAGCAAAUCCCAAACGCGCGCCUCAGUUCGGAUUGAGGGCUGCAAUUCGUCCUCAUGAAGUUGGAAUCGCUAGUAAUCGCGCAUCAGAACGGGCGCGGUGAAUACGUUCCCGGGCCUUGUACACACCGCCCGU
rnacentral:rRNA from 1 species